UACGGAGGGUGCAAGCGUUAUCCGGAUUCACUGGGUUUAAAGGGUGCGUAGGCGGCUUUGUAAGUCAGUGGUGAAAUACGGUAGCUUAACUAUCGAGGUGCCAUUGAUACUGCAGAGCUUGAGUACAGAUGAGGUAGGCGGAAUUGACGGUGUAGCGGUGAAAUGCUUAGAUAUCGUCAAGAACACCUAUAGCGAAGGCAGCUUACUAGGCUGUAACUGACGCUGAGGCACGAAAGUGUGGGGAUCAAACAGG
rnacentral:rRNA from 1 species